AUGGGACGCUUCAAUACUGACAUGGUGUGAAGAGUCUAUUGAGCUAGUUGGUAGUCCUCCGGCCCCUGAAUGCGGCUAAUCCUAACUGCGGAGCGUGCGCUUGCAACCCAGUGAGUAGCACGUCGUAAUGGGUAACUCUGCAGCGGAACCGACUACUUUGGGUGUCCGUGUUUCCUUUAUUCCUUGUCUGGCUGCUUAUGGUGACAAUUGAGAGAUUGUUGCCAUAUAGCUAUUGGAUUGGCCAUCCGGUA
rnacentral:other from 1 species